rnacentral:misc_RNA from 1 species
GGAAGUAAAAUCGUAACAAGGUUUCCGUAGGUGAACCUGCGGAAGGAUCAUUAACACGUUGCAAAACGUUAUCAACCAAACCGCGAACUGUGCCGUCUUUGCAUGUGCUGAGAUUUGUCGGGAAUUGCUCAAUUACAUUGAGAAUCCGCUCAGACUUUCUCAGUUUCACAUGAUUAUUUAACCCCAAACCAAAACCUGUUUUUAUUCAAAUAUCUGUUUAAAGGACUUUGCCGAUUUAUCGGUAUCGUCUUUUAAUACAAACUAUGUACAACUCUGAGCAACGGAUAUCUUGGUUUCC